rnacentral:rRNA from 1 species
GACAGAGGGUGCAAACGUUGUUCGGAAUUACUGGGCGUAAAGCGCGUGUAGGCGGUCGUGCAAGUCGGGUGUGAAAGCCCCGGGCUCAACCUGGGAAUUGCAUUCGAGACUGAAUAGCUAGGGUACGGUAGAGGGAAGCGGAAUUUCCGGUGUAGCGGUGAAAUGCGUAGAUAUCGGAAGGAACAUCAGUGGCGAAAGCGGCUUCCUGGACCAGUACCGACGUUCAGGCACGAAAGCGUGGGGAGCAAACAGG